rnacentral:rRNA from 1 species
UACAGGGGGUGCAAACGUUGCUCGGAAUUAUUGGGCGUAAAGGGUGCGUAGGUGGCGAGGAAAGUCGGAUGUGAAAGCUCGGAGCUCAACUCCGAAAUGGCAUUGGAAACUACCUUGCUCGAGGGUUGGAGGGGGGACUGGAAUUCUCGGUGUAGCAGUGAAAUGCGUAGAUAUCGAGAGGAACACCAGUGGCGAAGGCGAGUCCCUGGACAACUCCUGACACUGAGGCACGAAAGCUAGGGGAGCAAACAGG